GGAUAGUCCUGUCUGAAUUCUUCGUGCUUUUCUUACAUUAUAAUUAAUAGGUUAGGACUUUCUCACAUCUUGAAGCAUACAAUUGUGGAAUAAUUCAAAGAGGAAGGAGCUUCUGAACUCAGGGGAUUUGUCAGCUGUACCAGUACUCCAACCGGGCUCAGCAAGCAGCUGCACAACCAGUAGUGCCUGCAAAAUGGAGGGGAUGUGCUGGGGUUGGGAAUGAAGAGACAAGCCGUGGGGUGGGC
rnacentral:lncRNA from 1 species